UUUAUUUUUAAUAUCUAGCCUGCCCAUUGAUAUUGGAUUUAACGGCCGCAGUAUUUUGACUGUGCAAAGGUAGCAUAAUCAGUUGUUUAUUAAUUGUAGACUUGCAUGAACGGUUGGACUUAGUUUUUCUUUUUUUGUGCUUAGAUAAUGAAGUUAUGCUUUUUGUUAAAAUGCAAAAAUAAAAUUUAGGGACGAGAAGACCCCGUUGAGCUUUAUAAUAUCCGUUAUUUUUAACGGGAUGGAAAGCGUGUUUAUUUGACUGGGGCGGUGACAGGCUUGAAAACAGAAUUAUUGAGCCAUUAAAUAUGAAAAUAGGAUUAAGUUACCGCGGGGAUAACAGCUUAAUAUUAUUUGAUAGGUCUUAUUGAUAAUAAUGUUUAUGACCUCGAUGUUGGUUUAGGGUGUUUGUAAGAAGUAUAAGGUUUGAAAAAUGGUUUGUUCAACCAUUAAUUCUUUUAUG
rnacentral:rRNA from 1 species